GUGAAAUUGAACUCGCUGUGAAGAUGCAGUGUACCCGCGGCAAGACGGAAAGACCCCGUGAACCUUUACUAUAGCUUGACACUGAACAUUGAGCCUUGAUGUGUAGGAUAGGUGGGAGGCUUUGAAGUGUGGACGCCAGUCUGCAUGGAGCCGACCUUGAAAUACCACCCUUUAAUGUUUGAUGUUCUAACGUGGACCCGUAAUCCGGGUUGCGGACAGUGUCUGGUGGGUAGUUUGACUGGGGCGGUCUCCUCCUAAAGAGUAACGGAGGAGCACGAAGGUUGGCUAAUCCUGGUCGGACAUCAGGAGGUUAGUGCAAUGGCAUAAGCCA
rnacentral:rRNA from 4 species